rnacentral:rRNA from 1 species
ACUACAUGAAGCUGGAAUCGCUAGUAAUCGCGGAUCAGAAUGCCGCGGUGAAUACGUUCCCGGGUCUUGUACACACCGCCCGUCACACCAUGGGAGUCGGAAAUGCCCGAAGCCGGUGACCUAACCUUUCAGGAAGGAGCCGUCGAAGGCAGGUCUGAUAACUGGGGUGAAGUCGUAACAAGGUAGC